CAAAUAAUUGCAGUGAUUGAUGCAAGUUCCAAGAUAGAGACCCGUAAGUUUCUGCUGUUAUCUCGCUUGUCAGCCACAAACCAACAUUUGAGCUGGUAGAAACAUCUGGAGCGCAAGUUCCAUAAAGGAAGGUGGGGGCGGGGGGUAGGGGCACAUUGACCACUAUAUUUUAAUUGCAAGCCUAAUUAACACACCUCUAUGGUCGUUGAACGCAAGACGGGCAGAAGCUUUGAGAGCCCGAAACUAUGGAGUCACUGUUUGGGCUGACCAAAUCAACCAGUAAUCCCGAGGAAUCACUUCCACGUGAUCAGCACUCUUUCCUAUUUGCGCGAGUUCGAAUACGCACUCGACUGCAGCUUCUUCGCAGCCCAGCCACGCCACGCAAACGAAACUGCACUUUAAAUCCCUCCCCCCUCGAAAAAAACAGGACGCCCUGGUGCUUCGACUUUCUAAUGACGCGACUUUCAGAGCGCAAGAACCAACAUAACACCACGUACAACCUCAAUCUCCACUCGAUUCAUCCUAAUUUUCACGUAUUAUUCCCUCACAAACUCUUCCCCAAGAGAUGAAACGGCAGCACACGGCAGGUCCAGCACCAAUCCGCCAUACCUUUGAAUCCACAUCAUCCAGGCACGAGCAACAAGACAUUGUCACGGUGCUUCAUCACACGAUAGACUUAUUCUCCCAUCAACUUCAUGUGCAAUGAACGUAAUUUCAGCGCCGUAACUUUGGGUUUCGUAAGGUUGCGUCGACAACAACAAGGAAGGCGAAAUGCCAUGAAAGCUCC
rnacentral:lncRNA from 1 species